rnacentral:rRNA from 1 species
AUUGAACGCUGGCGGCAGGCCUAACACAUGCAAGUCGAGCGGAUGAAGGGAGCUUGCUCCUGGAUUCAGCGGCGGACGGGUGAGUAAUGCCUAGGAAUCUGCCUGGUAGUGGGGGAUAACGUCCGGAAACGGGCGCUAAUACCGCAUACGUCCUGAGGGAGAAAGUGGGGGAUCUUCGGACCUCACGCUAUCAGAUGAGCCUAGGUCGGAUUAGCUAGUUGGUGGGGUAAAGGCCUACCAAGGCGACGAUCCGUAACUGGUCUGAGAGGAUGACCAGUCAGACUGGAACUGAGACACGGUCCAGACUCCUACGGGAGGCAGCAGUGGGGAAUAUUGGACAAAGGGCGAAAGCCUGAUCCAGCCAUGCCGCGUGUGUGAAGAAGGUCUUCGGAUUGUAAAGCACUUUAAGUUGGGAGGAAGGGCAGUAAGUUAAUACCUUGCUGUUUUGACGGUACCAACAGAAUAAGCACCGGCUAACUUCGUG